rnacentral:rRNA from 1 species
CGUGCAGGCGGCAUGGCAAGUUGGAUGUGAAAGCUCCCGGCUUAACUGGGAGAGGUCGUUCAAUACUGCCAGGCUUGAGAGCGGUAGAGGGAAGCGGAAUUCCGGGUGUAGUGGUGAAAUGCGUAGAUAUCCGGAGGAACACCAGUGGCGAAAGCGGCUUCCUGGCCCAUUUCUGACGCUCAGACGCGAAAGCUAGGGUAGCAAACGG